AGGUCAUUUUGUGGGUAAUUCCUAAUUACACCCUUGUAGUGCUCCCAUGCUUUGUAUAGCGACUCACCCAUUUGUUGUUCAAAAUUUGAAAUGGCCUUUUAAGUUU